GAAACGCUGGCGGCACGCUUAAAACAUGCAAGUCGAACGAGAAGCUUUGGUGCUUGCACCGAAGUGGAAAGUGGCGAACGGGUGAGUAACACGUGAGAAACCUGCCUAGAAGACCGGGACAACUAAUGGAAACGUUAGCUAAUACCGGAUACCUUUAUUUUUUCUCCUGAUUUAAUAAAGAAAGCUCCGGCGCUUCUAGAUGGUCUCGCGUCCUAUCCAGCUUGUUGGUGAGGUAAAAGCUCACCAAGGCAACGACGGGUAGCUGGUCUGAGAAGAUGUCCAGCCACAUUGGAACUGAGAUACGGUCCAAACUCCUACGGGAGGCAGCAGUUAGGAAUCUUGCACAAUGGGGGAAAACCCUGAUGCAGCGAUGCCGCGUGCGGGAUGAAGGCCCUAGGGUUGUAAACCGCUUUCAGUUGGGAAGAAAGUGACGGUACCAACAGAAGAAGCCCCGGCCAACUAUGUG
rnacentral:rRNA from 1 species